ensembl:lncRNA
UAGCCACACAGCUGUCUUUGUCUUUGUUGUAGAUAUAAAUGAGUGUGUGGAGCUCUCAACCUGCCCCAAUGCCAAGUUUGAGUGCAGGAACAAGCCCGGCUCUGUGGACUGCUUCUGUAGAUACCAGAACACCAAGGACGUUGAUGGAUGUGGUGACUCUGCCAAUCCUCCAGGGUGUAAUGUGUUUAACGUCUCUGUGGGCUGGAAGAAGAGCAAGACUGAAGGACUCAAACAGCUGGUGGACAUUCUGUCGAUCGGUUUCCAAAACAAAUUCUACAACGCCAGUUACAAGGAUCCAGCCCCGGGGUCCGGUCUGGGUGCAGCCGAAUACCGUAUCAACGUGUCCAGUGACACCCCCCACUGGUACAUCAGAGACUACCUGGCCAGAGUCAGCGGCCACUAUGACAUCAGUUCUGUAGAAGUUGAUGAUCUGGACGAGUGUAAGGCCAAGGAGGCGGUGUGUGUCCAUCCUGCCCUCUGCGCCAACACUUACGGAGGCUACAGGUGUGUCUGCAAUGGCACGACCGACGUGGAUGAAACCCAGUCCUGUGUGUUAGGUGAGGCUCUGCGCACAUUUUACAUCCAUCCUGCAGGCACAGUAGCGGCUCUAGGGCUAACAGGCUGUCAAAAUCGAUAUUAUAACUGAGUGCUAAACCCAUAAAAUGCCUCGCAGAUAUAUGUCUUGUCAUAUAAACACAUCACUGCCCGGGCAAAUGACACUUCAACUUGUCAUCCAUCGCGUCUUUUCUCACUCUUAUAAAAAACAUUCUGUGACUGUGAUGAGAGCAUUUUACGGAAAUGUUUGUCAUGACUUGGUUUGACGUGACCCUUUGCAGACAGAGACCAGGUGAAUGAAAGGGAACUGGACCUUGUUCUGGGCCUGGUUCUGGGAAUCGGCAUCCCUCUACUUUUGCUGCUGCUCCUGGCUGCGCUGGCCUGCUUCUGCUGCUGCAAGAAGACGGUUACCGGAGAGUGAGUAACACCAGGAGUUUUCACUUUAUGAACAACAGGCAUGAGGGCUUUUUAACUGCUGAUGGUUUAGUAGCAAUAUUAUACAGGUUAUGUUUUCUUCACGAUUUUAGCCAAAAAUAUGGCAAAACCUUCUGUUUGUUUCUACCUAUUUACACAACUGUAAUGUUUUAUUGAGUUGUUUGCUGUUUCAGGGACCAGUGUGUAGGGUUUAGUGGCAUCUAGUAGUCAAGUUGCAGAUUGCCACCUUUUGAAUACAGCUCAGCCUUCAAAGUGUUUAGGACAGUGAUUCCCAACCACUAGGGGUCGCCAAAGCUUCAUAAGGGGUAGCGAGGCCUUCUUGAUUUUAGGUCUAGGCCGAUAUUUCAGAAUUUGCUUCACUUCUGUGAAGCACCAGGAAUAAGAAAAUACUGAAUUUGCCAAAAAGGUAGCCUAUUAAGUCUGUAUGAUUGUUGGAAAAUGAUUUCAAAAAUACAUAAUACAGACAGAGACUUGUAUAAAAAGUUCCCUAAACAGGAAAUAAUCAGCUCAGAAUUCAUCCAAAUCUCUUGUUUUACACAAACUUCCUGCAGUUACUGAGUUCACUGUUUGGGUUCAUUGUACAGUUUUUUAUAUAAUAUGAAAUCAGUUCACUAACUGAUAAAAAAAAGGGGUCUCUUAAGGAAAAAGGUUGGGAACCACUGGUGUAGGUGAAGCUACGAUAGCUGCAAAUAAUGCUAAAGGCCGUCUCUAGAGCCAGUGUUAGAUGCUCCUGAAUGUUGGACCUCAAUCACCCCCACCAGAUUUCAGUCCUUGUAAUUUAUGUACCAACGUCGCUUUUUCUUCUGGCACCAAGUGUUUUGCGUCAGUAGCGGUAAGGGUCUAAGAAUAGCGUUUUUUUCUCAUCCAUACAACAAUCGUCUCCUGGUGCGCGGUGGGCAGAACACAUCAGACGUGUUUCCCGGUGUGUGGUGACUGUUUAUAGCUGCGCAGGCCUUUCAAAGGACAGCUAGACCAUCUUGGUGCACUAAAGCACUAAUGAAUAAUGUGUUUAGAUGGGUCAGCAGCUCCUUUGGGCAAGGGUUCAUACUGCUGCAGAGAAUGACCACACACACACCCAGAGUUUCAAGGUACAGUAGUCAAGUAGGUCUGCCCAGAGACAAUCCUUUCCAGCAACUCGAAG